GAAGCCAGUUGAGGGAAGUUCUCCAUGAAUGUACGUCACAAUGAUGAUGACCGACCAAAUCCCUCUGGAACUGCCACCAUUGCUGAACGGAGAGGUAGCCAUGAUGCCCCACUUGGUGAAUGGAGAUGCAGCUCAGCAGGUUAUUCUCGUUCAAGUUAAUCCAGGUGAGACUUUCACAAUAAGAGCAGAGGAUGGAACACUUCAGUGCAUUCAAG
rnacentral:sRNA from 1 species